CUACGUGCCAGCAGCCGCGGUAAUACGGAGGGUGCGAGCGUUAAUCGGAAUAACCGGGCGUAAAGGGCACGCAGGCGGCUAUUUAAGUGAGGUGUGAAAUCCCCGGGCUUAACCUGGGAAUUGCAUUUCAGACUGGGUAGCUAGAGUACUUUAGGGAGGGGUAGAAUUCCACGUGUAGCGGUGAAAUGCGUAGAGAUGUGGAGGAAUACCGAAGGCGAAGGCAGCCCCUUGGGAAUGUACUGACGCUCAUGUGCGAAAGCGUGGGGAGCAAACAGGAUUAGAUACCCUGGUAGUCCACGCUGUAAACGCUGUCGAUUUGGGGAUUGGGCUUUAAGCUUGGUGCCCGUAGCUAACGUGAUAAAUCGACCGCCUGGGGAGUACGGCCGCAAGGUUAAAACUCAAAUGAAUUGACGGGGGCCCGCACAAGCGGUGGAGCAUGUGGUUUAAUUCGAUGCAACGCGAAGAACCUUACCUACUCUUGACAUCCAUGGAAUCUUGUAGAGAUACGGGAGUGCUUCGGGA
rnacentral:rRNA from 1 species